rnacentral:rRNA from 1 species
AUUGAACGCUGGCGGCAUGCUUUACACAUGCAAGUCGAACGGCAGCGCGGGCUUCGGCCUGGCGGCGAGUGGCGAACGGGUGAGUAAUGCAUCGGAACGUGCCCAGUAGUGGGGGAUAGCCCGGCGAAAGCCGGAUUAAUACCGCAUACGACCUGAGGGUGAAAGCGGGGGACCGAAAGGCCUCGCGCUAUUUGAGCGGCCGAUGUGGGAGUAGCUAGUUGGUGGGGUAAAGGCUUACCAAGGCGACGAUCGGUAGCUGGUCUGAGAGGACGACCGGCCACACUGGGACUGAGACACGGCCCAGACUCCUACGGGAGGCAGCAGUGGGGAAUUUUGGACAAUGGGGGCAACCCUGAUCCAGCCAUGCCGCGUGCGGGAAGAAGGCCUUCGGGUUGUAAACCGCUUUUGUUCGGGAAGAAAUCCUCUGGGCUAAUACCCCGGGGGGAUGACGGUACCGGAAGAAUAAGCACCGGCUAACUACGUG